GGUGCUGAUUCACCGUCUUGAAAGUAGUGAUUCUACACUUCUGUCUGCACUUUGGCCAUUUUGAACAUGGCACUCAAACACUUUCAUGAGUAGAAAUGUUCAUGCUGGUAUUAGUUUAUGAGAGUUUGACAUUGCAUAAUAAAUUUCCCGUUAAAAUUCAUAUCCAAACUUUAAAUUUAGUCAACUUUCCAGUAUCUACAUUAAGGCUAAUGAUGUUUGGCAUAGAUCCUUGUCAGGUCGGUAGGUUUGGCUUGGCUGUGUCCCAGCUCUGAUGUUUGUAUGUGUUGAUUUUUAGCUCAUUUUUAUGUAUUUAUUUAUAAAAGACUUUGCUCUUUUAAUAACCAAAGGAAAAAAUCGGCCCCAAAAAGAUUGUGACUACCAACUCUGUCGAAGGGCUGUUAUCUUUUAUCCAAAUUUGAACCUUUGUGUGAACUCUAGGGAAAAGUUCAAUUUCAAACUGUAGGGACCGGUACAAACUCAUAUUAGUGCCAUAAAUGGAAAGUAAAAGACAAAGGCAGGGCUGUAUGUUGGCUUUGUACAAGACAGCUGUCAUACACCUGAUGGCUUACCCACUGAGGCACCAUCGACUUGUGGCGAUGAAAAGGGAUUUCUAUGACGACCCUGAAAAGGGACGUCCCUGUUACGAUUGCAAAUUUUAAACAUGUGCAUGUCAAGUCAGGUAUUCAUUCGAAGUUGAUUUUGUGAAAAACUGACAGCCCUACCCUGUCAUGGGAUUGACUCCCAAUGUGGAUCUGAGUGGAUUUCACAGUUGAUGGCAUGAGUUGUUUCUAACAUGCAUACAAGACUCCUAAAAACAGGGCCAGUGAGAGCUGUGGGCAGGGAUGGGCUCAGCACACCCAAACCUGGGAUUUUCUCACCCAAACAAAAUUUAAGGAGAUGAUAUCGCUCCUUCAGUUGAGGAGUAGAUUGCCAGGAUGCCACUAUGCUUUUCAGCUUGUGAGUGGGUGGGCAGCCUAUAGCCCACACUGCAAAGAGACUGAUCCAUAUUUUGAUAAACAAAACUUUGUCCGGGUAAUCCCUGGACAUGUUGUGCAGGUUAUCCAAACAACAUGUUUCAUUAACUUUGCACGACUUGAUCAAAUUGGACAGCUUGCAUAGUUGGAUGAUCUGGUCAGUUCUGUAAAGGACACACCCACCCUUGUCUGGAAAAUCCAUACUACCUUUCCACUUUUCCCCCUCUUGGACAGUCUUGAACACUUGAUCUGGCUAGUCACAGCUAUUUUCUUUUCCCAAAGAAGAGGCCACCAGAAAACAGAGGCAAGGUUUUGUAUUUUUUGGGACUACAACGCAAGAGUUCGUGCUCGCCCCUUCUUGGAUGGCGGCUUUAAAAGUAAAAGACAGUGUUGGAUAUACAUCUCAAUUGUUGCUAAAGCUUGAAGCCGUUCAUGUACAGAGACCUUCCCUUUCGGCUAUAAGUAAUAUUGUAACAGCAGGUACUGAAACAAUAGGUGCUGCUAAGUGAUGCUUAUGUGAGCACUAACUGUCAGUCUCAAGAUGUUUUCUGCACAGGUGUAACUUUAGGGUCAUUUUUCUCACUCCAAAGCUGUGUGAAAAAGUAACACCCAUGAGCUGUGUCAAACUUUAUAUCACUGGAAAAGCUGUCAAAACAAAGUAUUUCAGGUAGAGGCUAAAUGGAGAUUUUCAUAUAUGCCAGUAUGAGAUAAACAAGGAGUUUUUUUGAGCUGCUAGUUGUUUAACAGGUGUCCCAGACUUACAUGAUGAAAGGUGAAAAUGAGUGUGACAAGUCUCCUUUAAAUUCACUGAGAGUAUGCCCCCUUCUGAUGUUGUUUUUGAUGCACAAAUUACAGUCACAGCAGUCUGAAACAGAUGGGGAAAACAAACUUGUCAUUUUAUCCAUCAUACAGUGAAUCCACUGGAUUACUGAGCUGCAGGAGAACGCAUGCUUCAGUUUGCAAAGAGACAACACUGCAUUAUAGAAGUGGCCCCAUGUCUUCUUCAUGUCUUCUUCAUGUUCACUGUGCAUCGCAAAGAUGGUGAACACAAACCCAGUGUGAAGUCUGCAAACAAAGAGAAGCGCACUCAAAGGAAAAUACUUAAAACAGUUAAAUUGGGUUAGGACUGUGUGUAAAAUUCUGGCAUGAAUUAUGCACAAUAAGAUUGUGAUCUCAACCGAAGGAGAUUAAAUGCAUACACCAGAUUUAGCAGCAUGGUUACAUGUUUUUUAUGUGAGAAAUUGGCGCUCAGGCUUUCUCAGAUGAUUCUUUUAUUCCCCAUUUCUGUUAGAAUUCAAUUACAGUUUUCCUUUUUGAAAACAUUGGCUUUCAUAAAAGUCUCACAAGAUUUGGUUUUAUUUUUCUGAACACUCUGCCCAUGAAAUAAAGAUGACUUGUGUUAAACUUUGAAGAUCUUUUUUUUGUAUUUUGGAGUGAAUUAGCCUUGCCUGGAAAAUGCUGCUACUCAACUCUCAAAUUAACCUGCCUUAAAAUCUUCUUUAUAAGUCGGGAUAAGGAGAAGACAUUUCAUGAAAAAUAGCUGCUUAAGAAUACGCCACAAUGUCAUCGUGCCGGAGAGAUGUUUGGAGAAGCAACUUUGAAAAACUUCAAGGGCAAAUGAAAAUUUGCAGGACUGUGUCAGUUUCUGAUUACGAGCUUAAAUGUCAAAACUACCGAAAACAACCAAAAGUAUCUCCUUAAAGACCCACUCCAAUAAAAAUCAUGUUUUUCUUGUUUUAUAUAUAUUCAUAUGGCGUUUUUCUGAUGCUACAGGACAUAUGAGAAAACUAAAUGCAAAACUGCUUUUCUGAGUAUUUCUUCAUUUAAAUUUCUGUGAAUCUCUGGCAGACCCAAACGGCAGGUUCAGAAACAGUGAGAUGUCAUACGUAACCAAUCCAAGCACACUCUCCAUAUAGAGGAGAAAUACUGAGGAUGAUAGCGGAACAAGCAUGUGCGCGUUAGCGGAUUACAGUGCUCGUAAGAAAGCUAAUUAUGAUAUUAACUUUCAUCAUCUCCCUGAAGACAUUAGUGUCUGAGAGCUGAAUAGCUCCCAUGUUACCUGCCACUUCUACUACAGCAGCAAUGCUAGGCUGCAAGCUAAUGUGAAGACGAGUGUGCAGGGCAGCGCUGUCUCCGCCCACAACUCAGAGGUGAACUGCUAAUGAGCUACAGGAGCUCUGCUGAAGAAAAGCUCUUGAAAAUGACAAAGAUAAUGAGAUUUUUGGUAACAACUUCAUAAUCACAAUUUAAAGACCACUGCGAACACUUUAAGUAUAUUAAAAAAAGAAGAGAUCGGAGCGGGACUUCGAAUUACCUCGGAAGUUAGAAGUGAGCUGGGAAUGACGUCACACCUGAGUUACCAGCGUUUCAGUUACUGAGUCGGGAAAAAGUAAAAUCGGAGGCGGAAACAAGAUGGCUAUAUCAAUGAAAGUUAUUUUAGCGCUUGUUAUUUUAGUUGUUUUAAGUUAUUUUAGCAUCCACUUUUGUAGAUGUCGCCAUCUUGUUUCCACCAGCAAUUUAGCUUUUUUCCCACUUAGUAACUGAAACGCUGGUAACUCGGGUGUAACAUCAUUCCCAGCUCAGACAUUUGACUUACGAGGUAACUCGAACGCAGCAUAAAGAAAAGUGGUAAAGCUGACCUGAGAAAUGGAGGUAGCCCAGGCAACACUACUUGAGAGCUUGGAUGCUGCUUAAGCAUAAAACUAAUGUAUAAAAAGCUUCGGACAUGUGUGUAGUUGUGAGUGUGUGUGUGUGAAAGAGAGGGAGAGUGCUCAAGAGGGAGAAAUGGAGAUAAAGUGCGCCCUUUCAAGUGUAUACGUCCGUGUGUAUGUGUGAAAGCUUGUGGAUCCGAGCACUGGUUAAAUGAGAGGGGUAACGCCGUAGCUUUGUCAGAGCGACGAGGGGCCUAACUCAGCAUUAGACCGACUGAUCUCCAUUUGUUCCACCCGUGUAGAGAGACAGACAUAGAGCGAGAGGAGAGAGAGAGAGAGAGAGAGAGAGAGAGAGUCCGGGGAAGCGUGAUGAAUUACAUAACCGUUGGGAGUUAGGAUGGGGCAGAGGGGCUGUAAGAGAAGAGAGAUGAUGGAGGGAGGCAGACUUUGAAAAAAGAGGAAAGAGACAAAUUGUGAAAACGCCGCCAGCUCAAUUAGAACAUGCUGUUUGGUUACAGGAACUCUGUAUCCAGGUUGUUUUUGCAAAUUUAUCUGCUUAUUCUUGUAAAAGCUUCGAUUUCUUGGUUGACGGUUGUUUAAAGUGGAAAACAACUUGUGAAACAGUCACAAAAGCCAUGUGCACGUUCAUUUAUGUUCUGCACAGAGAGGGCGUGUGCCAGCUUCAAAAUACAAGGGCAGCAUUUUCAGAUUUCUUCCACUCUGGUUUCAAGACUUACUCGAUCUCGGAGCGGAAGCAAGGCCAAAACAAAAGGGUAAAAAUAUGCAUUUUUAAAAUUUGGCCUAGUGUGGGAGUACUGUUAAAGUAGGGAGCAAGCAAUUUGAGCUGGGGAAAAAUGAAGGCAGAGAAAAAAAGAUAAAGAAAGGAGCAGAGAACUCUGGGGCUUUGUUGCCCUGGUAUCUUCUCCCCCUCCUCCUCCUCUCUUUCUCCUCCAUCGCAGUCCUUUGAUCUGAGCUCAUGCCAAAUUUAGAGACGUGCUUUAGCCCUAACCUUUCGUCAUCUCUCCCUCUCCCCCUCUCUCUCUUUUCUCCCAUGCAGCGCAAAUCCAUGCAUUCACAUGGCUUCAUGCUGCUGUAAUUUGGGUUCCGCGUGAGUGGGAGCAUGACGAUGACAGCGAAGGGACGGCAUGAAAGAGCUGCCACCCAGUCCUCAGGGUUGAGAAAGAGCUUAUAGACCCAAACCCCUGCGUAUCUGUCCAUAACCAGCACUGCAUCACAUUAGAACCAAGUUUCAAAAGUCUAACACUGAUGCCUCAGGCCUUCUCACAGAUGUAAUUAUCAUACCCCGAAAAUCUCACUCACUGUGCUACUGAAAUAGAUUCUUUGAAAAAUUACCCAUUUAUAUUUUUUUUCCUCUUUUCCACGCUAGCAAUGCUCAAAGACUGUAAUCUGUUUUCUGGAAUAGAGACGUGUUAUGCAUAUUCAAAAACCCUGAGCGCAUGAAAGGUGGUAAUUAAGAAAUCAAAAAAAAAAGAGCUGGUGAAGUUGUACAGAACAUGAUGUGAUCAAUAGACCAAGGUUAUCAACCGAAAGGGAGAGAAAAAAAUAAAUUGAAAACACUGUCAAACCGAGAGACAAAUAAAAACCACAAUGUGAGCAGGAACAUGAUACCGACAAGAAGAGCGCAUCUUUAAUAAAAGUGUGUUUACACCUUCUGCCUUUUACCAGCUGCCCUUUGAUUGACCUCUAAUGUUCCUUCUCUGGCAUACUGAAGCUAUUAGAGUAUAUAUUUUGUACAUAUUUCAACUAAAACGUUUAAUUGUUUUCAUCUCCUUUUCACAGAGUCUCUCCAAGGUUCUGUCUUUUUCUAGAGAGCAGUCUGGCUCAGCUCCACGGGGUUGAUAGCAACUGUCUGUGAACCCUGAGUGAAGAGUCCAAACUUUUGCAUUGUUUGUCUCAGAUAUAUUUUAAAACUGAAUGGUUUUAGAAGUUGUCUUUUUCCCUGGAGAGGCUGAAACAACUAAAGAAACCUUUCAAUGAAGGUUUCUGUAUACUAACUUCGAUUGCGAUGUACCUCCCUCCCUCACAAAAUAUAUUGUGUUUUGUACUUGAACGAGGUGUAACUGGCCUUCACCAUAGUGGAUUUUUGGAGCCAGUAAUGACUUUUCAAAAUCAGAGGUUGCAUCGUCUGAAAAACUUGACAGUAAUGAUGUUUCAACCCACGCUAAAAUGACCCUGCAGCUUGUAUCAAAUGUUACUUGAAUGCCUUCGAAAAAUAGACUCAAUUUAGAUGGAAAAAUCUUCUGGUUGUCAUAGCAGUCAAAGAGGGCAGGGAAAGUUUUUUCGCUUCUCCAUCCCUAACUUGAGCGUCUUAUUUCCAUUUGCAAGGCACCGCUACAAGAAGGGAAUUCAAACGUGCAAAACUCGGAACAAUUUGCAGAACUGAACCUGAAAUUGCAACUUUAAGAUAGAAUGAAUAAAAACAUCUCCAGCUGAAGAGAGAGACUCACUUUUAAGGAAAGGAAGGACAGACCGUCCUUCCCUCAUAGCAUUGAUAUAAAUGCAAAAACUGUCAACAUAGCGUACGUGUCUGUCACUGCCUCUGACAUAAUUUGCAGAUAUGGCAUAGUGCUUCUAUUACUUCCAUACCAUCCAACAGUAAAAAACUAGAUAAUGUGAUGGAUUGGGAUGGGAAUUAAUAUGAUUUCAUUGAUACCAGUGCCAUUAUCAAUUUAGUCGAAAUCUUUGUCAAUUCUCUUAUCAAUCUAUGUAAAAUAAGCUUACAGGUUGUCUGUGCAACAAUACAAGUUUUAUUGGGAAUUUUGAGAUAGGGAAGCCUGGGGUCUGACUGGUUCUUUUCAGGUCAGCUGAUUGGAGAUGCAGCCUCUGAUUGUUAUCUUACCAACAAAAAGAUGGUAGCCUCCAUUUUAGCAUGGUCAUCUAACAGAAGAAAGGACACUAUUUCAUUAAAAUGUAUUCACAAGUUAUCACAGAUUGGCUUCCCUUUGAAGAGACUUGAUCAGGACAGUCUUGGAGAAAACACUGAUCGUGAUAGAAAAGUCCAAAUAGAACUGUUGGAAAGCUGCCUGUCUCACAAAGCGAGUGGAUUUUACAGUUAGUUGUCAUGUUAUACUGUUUCCUUUUUUGAGCAAAUACUGUAAAAAAAAACCAUUAUGUUCAGCACAUAGACUGUAUGUAGAAUGGACGCAGUCUGCCUCCUUGCUGGGUGAAGCCACUCCGAGAACAGCACCCUCUCGUGAUAGGGUGCAGUACAGGUCAUAAAUCCCGCCUCCGCCAGCAAAGCCUAUGGGGCUGUGGACAAACUUUAGAAAUUUAUUACACAGAACACAUGCUUGCGAUGUUGACAUGUAGUUAUUCCAAGUCUGGUUUGUGCUCAAGUCCUUUUUUUCUGUACAGCUUUGUUUCUAAAAGGUAUUAGGGGGUUCAAGUUUUUUAUGAUUGACACUUGAUACAGCCUAUGGGCGUACAAGGAUUGCGUAGCUCGGCGGGGGGGUACGCUGUUUGAGCCGAGCGUCACCACAGCGACUCUUGACUCUAUCGCCGAGUCCCACCGAAUGCGCACAAUGCUACUGCUCAAGUGGUGGAGUGCGUACAACGAUACUGUGCAAUGUUGGUUUCAGGAAGUGGAGAAAAAAACAUGGAAUUACCGAGAGCUUUUCGGCUUCAAAUCCGUAUACUGGUGGAAGGCGGAACCAAGUUGUCCAUAGUAUAUACAGUCUAUGGUUCAGCACUUUGGACAGCUCCCAUCUUAUGCCAGACAUCGUUCCCUUCUCGCUGCUGACUGCAUUUCAUGAUGUGUUAUGUCUCUGCUUUGCAAGACAAGAGGAACUAAGUGAAAGGCAUUGAUAAGGGAACCACAAAAGCCUUAAAGAAAACGAUGUUGAGUACAGUAAGAGGAAAAAAGUCUGCAACAUUUAAGGAACAGAGCUGCUAAAAAUUUCUCACAAAUUCCUCAAGUUCACACAUGGCAGAAGUUGCAGCUUUAGGCAUGUGUAUCUUCCUCCUGUUUUAUUUUUAAAGCCUUAAGAGCAACUCUUAAAAGGUGACAUUUUAGGAACCCAGACUUAAAGCGAAGUUCAUAGGGGAAAGAAGAAGGUAAAGUUUGGCCAGCCUUAAUGGGCAGAAAUGGUGUGUUUAUGUUUGGUCUGUGUAAUCAUGUUAACCCUCCCCUGACCUUGCGGCUGGCAGGCUUCCAAAUCGCGUAGGUGGCCCACAGUGAGAGCGUGUUGGAGUUAGAGGGGAGGGAGGAGUGCUGUGUCGGAGACCAGCUUCCAGAAUGAGGUUUGUUGGUAGUGCACUGUCUGAGCCCGAGGGGUUGAACAUUAGCUCCGCUCGCGGGUUGCAUAGAGGGAUUUGGUGUGUGUUUGUGUGUACAGAGAGAGCUGCAUAUGUGUUUACGAUCUCAGGGUGGUUGUGUGUUAUUUUCUGUGUGUAUGUCUGUGUGUAUGUGUGUGAGCAGGUGAUGCUUGCUGUGUUGUGUUGACUUUUAUCCCUACCUGAGGGUUCAAGCAGCGGUUUCAGAUGAAUCAUGAGCAGAUUUUUUGUGUUUGGGACCACCCUGGACUGUGAUUUUUUUUUUUCCACACAUGGGUACAAAUGCUCUUGGGCGAUGUAGUGCGUGUCGUGUGUGCUGGGCUGUCUCUCGCCGUGAUAGGUGAGAGGUCAGGACAUGACAGAAGAAAGAAGAGGGAGAGAGACAGCAGGGGAGCUCAGCCAGAAAGCCGUGUCGGCCAAUACUUUCUAAUGAGACCUGGCACCUGCCCUGCAGCAAGGAGGGGGAGAUAGGGAGUGGGAUUAAAGGUAGAGGGGGAGACGGGUGACUGAUAGCAAGGAGGAAUAAGGAAGGGAUCGAAGGGAGCUAAUUAUUUUUGUGAUUUAUCAACCUGCAGGAUGUUUUUUUUAUGAUUAAUUGUUGGUUUUCUUGGGCUCAAAGUGACUCUUCAAAUGACAAUUGUUACAAAAGAAAAUGUGUAUUUGUAUAAGGACAAGUUUUAAGCAAUUAAACUGAUACUAUUCACAACAGCACUUUGAAUUUGAUAAUUCAAAAAAAUAAACAACAAACACAGAAAAGAAUUAAGAAUAAAACAGACAACAAUGGAAACAAUUUACAAUGAAAAAACCCCAGACUUGAAAAUUUUCUGUCAGAAGAAGCAACAAUCCUUUAUGUUUCAGAGGACAGAGUUAUAUUUGAGGAUUUAUUUUCUUACAAUUAUCCUUUUUUUUAAUAACAUGGAUAGUUUUCAGCUAAUUUUUCUUUUCCAUUUUGCAAUUUAGUGAAGGUUUAAUUGGUAAAUUUCUGACUUUUAGAAUAUUAAAGCUUAUUUUUAUAUUUAUCGGUACCUCCUGUUGACAAAGUUGCACCUAUUUUUUCCCUGGACAGCUUUAUAAACUCAGUUUGAUUACUAUUGGACUGAAGGUGACCAGAUGUACCGGUAUAACGUUACUCCCCACAACCUUGCUGUCAUGCUGUGAGCUCUAGUGUCUGUCAAUAAAUGUCAGAAUAUUGCGAAUGUGCACACGGUUGAACUCUUCCGUCCUCAAAGAUCAGCGGUGCAGUCAUAGCCGGAGGAAAACACGACAUCCUGUUCGGAGCCACUAUGCUCUUUUUACAGAGAAAAGCUUUGGCUGUAGAGUUCUCCGUCUAGAGUAUCACUUUAACUUUUCUUAAAAACCCAGCUCUAGUAUCAGCCAUGAAUACAAAACAUUAUGUCCAAAGAAAAUUGCCUAAAGUAAGAAAACCCCUCUGGCUUGUUAACUUGCUCCUUGCUGUCAAACUUUUCUCAACACAGCCACUUCCAGCUGAGUUCCAAACACUGACUCAUAGAAAACCAGACAUGAACACUCGCACGUAAACUCAACACAAACAAUCUUGUUGCUGAUAAUCUCAACUUUUCCCAGAACUAUUAGUAUUUAUUUAUUUUCAAAUUUGUUCAUGUGAGGAUCGGUGAAUUAUUCAACAAGACCAGAAUCCAGCCUUGAGCAUGAAGAGUUAAAGUGAAGGAGUCAGCGCUGACGUUGUGAUAGAAAUAGCUUAAGGCUACAGUUUGAUUGAGAGAAAGGAAGGGAAAAUGAAAUGAUGUGACAGAAGAAUAAUGAGGGAGAGGGAGUGAGAUAUUGAUGUAGGCAGAAAGAGAAAAGGAAGAUGAAAAGAUGAGUAUAAUGAUGAAGAGGCAUGUAAAUUGGUGAUCUCUUUGAGGCGCAAACAGCAGGAGUGAACGAGAUAACCUUAGGAGGAAAAAGGCAGAACAGAAAAAGGAAAAGGAUUAAAUGAUGAUAUAGAGUCGAGAGUUGGUCUAAAAAAACGUCCCUUUGUCUGCUUGUUACGUCUUUAUGAUGGCUUUUCUUAUUCAACCUCCAGUCUCAUUACUACGGCCAGUCAGACAGCCUGUCCGUGCAGGUCAAGUGAUGUUGACCUGAAUCCUAAGUACCUUGUUGGACCUCUGACCCCCUUUCAAAAGGACAUUCAUUACCAAGCAUACAGAGAGCUCAGAUCAGACAAAGAGCUGCGUGUUCAUCCACUCGAGCCUCUGUUACUAUAAGACACAUCCAAGAAAGAUGCUACAGUUUGCAGAUUAACUGGAAAUCAUUGAGCUGACAAAGGCGAGGCCGGGUCAGAAGUUGGUUUGAGGCAUUGAUUGUUGGUACAGUUGUGGUUUUUUUUAUCAGCUUAGUGAGCGCGUCUGAGCAGGAGAUUCACUGUUGAUGCCAAGAAAUGCCUUUUUUUUUUUACAUCCCGUGGUCUAACACAUCGAGGUGUAAAUUUGAGAUAUUUAACAGUGUUCAGAAGGUGUUUGGUAAAUAUUAGGAUUGCGAGUUCAUGCAGGAGUUGUGGAAAAAAUCUGUAAUGGAUGAUAGCUGCAUGAAAACCAGCAUGAUGCACCAUCCAGAACCAGACUGCUGCGUAAACGCUUGGCUGAGAUGAUGGCAUCAGGAGGAGUUAGGCUACAUUACAUCCUGCGUGUCAUAAUAAACACAAACCUGACAACAGUUUCGACAUGAUGUAUGAAAGCUCUAAGGAUUGUGAACUGGUCAUUUUUUUUACACAUAAGCCGACAGAAAUAGACCUACUGGAAUAAAAUGACAGUGUAAUGAAGGGGAUAAUUGUGGUAAUGACAUGGUGUUUGAGUCCGUGAAACUAUUUACCUGACUGCAUAGGACUACUGGCUUACGUAAAUGCAAACAGAACGAGCGCUUUAAGUGGCGUGCAAAUGAGGAUCAUUUGUAACCGCUUGUUGCAUAGUGAUGUAAACGCAAGCAACCAUUUGGAGCUGUGUUUAUAUCGGGAAUAAGGUAGUAGUGUUUAAAAUUCUCACUCAGCAGCUGCAGCAGCGUUGAAAUCCAUUGUAAGAGAGCGUGAACAUUUGUCGACUUGCUUUGCUUUUUUUAGCAAAGAAAGCCCACAACCCACCUCCUCCUCCUCCUCCCCCUCCGUCGCCGUCUCCUCCAUUAAUUAGUUUCCGUUCUUUCCUUCCCCUCCCACCUCGCGUCACUUCAUCACCGAAAGAGGUGAAAUUCCUUACCUCUUCCCUCCUCACCUCCAAUCUGUCUUUCCAGCUUCCCAACCCUCGCACAUUUCACUCCCACAUCAGCAUCACGUUUCUUUUUUUUUUUUUUUUUUUUGUUAUCACCACUAUCUUUCCAUCUCUCCCUCCGGAAUAACCAUCUCUCUCCAUCUUCUUCUUGUCCAUUACUCCACGGGUUUACCUCCCAGCCUCCCUUUUCUCUCCUUCGCACUUUAUCCAAUCGUCUCUCUUUUUCUGGAGCAUGGUCGCCUCUUUCUUUUUCUGUCGCAGGAAUGAGAGAUAAAGAUCUUUAAUUAAUCAAUCCACAUACUGUUGCCGACACUGUCUCCCUGUCGUAUGUCUCCGGCUCUGCUGCUAAGGGGGGGAAAAAAUGACCUUUUCCACCUUUUCUAUAAUUCAUCCUUGCUCUAAGAAUACAAGACAUUUUUUCCCGCACUUUGCGAGGGCAGCAUGACUAUGACCUUUGCACACCUGACUGAGUAUUUUCACUGAAAGGGGGUGAAAGUUAAUCUGGGCUAUGAAUCUGAAUGAAAACUUUUCUGCAGUCUUUUGCGAAAACCUUUUAUGUGAUACUCGAGGAUAAUUAGUAAUACUUAAUUAGUCUGUAAGGGUCUAUUAUGUUGCUCAGUUUUUUCCUCAUUUACGAUUUUGAAGCCGUCUCUUUUCAGUACAUUUAGCUUUAGAUUAAGAUUAAAUUGAGUUCACUUCACAAAUUUCCAUGAGAAUAAGGAGUGUGCAGUCAUUAUUAUAGAGAGUUUAAAAAGAAAGGUGACAUGAUCGCUCCCUGAAAGUGACGCCAAAAGGUUUAAACCUCUCAAUAACUGACCGCUUUUCUCAUGAGAAUCGAUAACCGUUUCUUGCAACACUUAGAAAGCUUUAAUUUCGUUGAAGGGGGGAAAUACUUCCAAUAUGCGGAAACAUUUGUGCACUUUGCGGAAGUGUAACGUGCUUGAUACACUACUUAGCGAAAGUGAGAUUGGUUCAGGCAAAAGCAGAAGCAGAGGUAACAUCUGGGCGUCAUCUGCUUUAAAUGCUGAGAGUAUCGUUUAACUCCUACAGGUCCUGUCUGUUGUGUAGAUGUUAGCGCCAUGUUAACCUCCUUUCACUGCAUAAAUACUCUCCAUCUCCUUAAAUUAGAUUUAGCUCAGAGGCUGCAGCGGGUAGCUCACCUUUGGCAGCCCCUUUCUUCGAGGCAGGAAAGAGUAAAAUGACAGAGGGGAAGAUAAAUGAAUGUCACUGAGCUGUGACCAGAUUUGUGGUUAAAGGGUAGGAUAUGGAUAUGCCAUAUCUUUUGUCCAAAGGUGACAAUAUUCAAGAGUAAAUGCAAACAAACCUUACGCUUACUUUGUUAAAGCGAAUUACCUGUCCGGCAGAAAGGUUACACGGUCCAUAAGAUCUUGAAGCGUUCCCCAUUGUUUAUGCUAUGCUGACCCGGCUUUUUAAGCGCCUGUUAUUCCGCCAGAGUCUCCGGUAUUUACCUCGUUUUCUUGCUUGUGUUGGCAGUCGUGGAUUAAGACAAUUUUCUGUACUUUCUGAUUGGUUUCUACUGUCCGAUAUUGUAGCACGCUAACUUUGUUUGGGCUCGUGAACGACUCAGGGGAGCAGUGUCUGCCUCACAACCAAUCAGCACUAAGGAGCAGCCUCACAACCAAUCAGGUCGGGAUCAGGCGGAGAAUGGCUUUGUUUACAGUCAGAAAGAGCAGAGCGCUCAAAAAAUUUAAAAUGUUGACUACACAGACAUAACAAAACACAGCGAUAUCGUCUUUAACGGAUUCCUGCUUACCCCACCUUAAUGAGAAUCGAUAAGCAGUAAGUAUUGAUAAGCAGUAUCGAUAAUGGGGUAGGAAUCGCAAAAUUCUUAACAAUUCCCAUCCCUACACAUCGGUCACAUUUUUAAACUGAAAAAAAAAAACUUGACCCCAUCUGUGGCGGUUAAUAACCUAUCAUCAGUGUUGCUUUCUCAAUAAAGAGUCUGUGCUGACUUGCAUUGACUUGGAUCAUACACUUAAGACAAGUACCUCUUCAAGAAAAACAACUAUCCUUUUCAAAGCAAAGGGAAUUAUCAGCUCUCUGGAAGUAAGAAAAAAAAAACAGUAAGAGAGAUAGCUACAACUCUUUUCAUACGAAAGUGAACUUAAAAACCUGAUGAUCCUCACACAAGUCAUGACUCCAAGAAAGAGCGUAAGUGUUCAAAGUACUUUAAUUGCCACCACGGGCCGGGUGUCACAGCCACUUCUGCCCCUCCAAGUACUGACCGUGUCACUAUGAAGACCACAUCAGUUAGCUGAACCACAGUUACACGGCUUGUUCUACGGAAACAUCUGUCUGUCUCCCCCCUCACGUCGUAUCUCUGAAUCACAUCUCUCCCUCUGUGACCCCUCUACAAUUCCUCUGCUUCCCCUCCUCCUCCAGGGAGGGAGGUGCUCCUCUGUGAUUGAACGUAUCUGGUCUUUACAAAACCAACUCAAGGGAGGAAUUUGGUGAUGCUUGAAAAGGUUGCCGCUUUGACUGACUGUCUUUCCUGUGAUUGCACCAGGCAGAAAUCCAGCAUGAGCUGAAACGUUGCCUUUUUUCCUGUUAUAUUUGGAGCAAACAAUGUGUCUGUCUCACUCCAUUGGCCCCUCUCCAUCUGAUUAUAUUUGGAUGUUGUGAAUUUUGGCACUGUAAUUGUGCGUUAUUCUGAACAACAGCCUUGAUCAGAUGCCUAAAAUGUAAAUGUCUUUUUCUGUGUGUGUUUCUCUGAUGAUGUACAAACCAUAUUGUUUCUUUCCUUGUCAUGAUGUCUUAACCUU